UGAAGAUUCUGAAGAACCAAAUUAAACCCAAAUUAGACAAGAAACACAACGAAGAAACUCAAAUUGACAAGAAAUCGUGGAAGAAACCAAAUUAAACCCAAAUUAAACAGUACCAACAACUGAAAGUAUAAAUUACUCAACAACAAAAAAAGACAAUACCUCUUCUUCCUUUGGGUAAUUCAUUCUGGAAGAAACCCAAUUAAACAACACCUCUAAUACAUUAAUUUAGUGCCGAUUCCUUCUUCUUGGUGAUUAAUUAUGACCAAAAACAUCUCGAAUACUGUAUUUCAGUGAUCAAUUCUGGUUUCUAACCCAGUCGGCACUCUCCCUCUCUACACUUUCUCUCUCUAAAUAUUUC
rnacentral:lncRNA from 1 species